rfam:Otolemur garnettii contig122803, whole genome shotgun sequence.
GCACAGUGGCACUCCUAUAUAGUCCCAGCUACUCAGGAGGCUGAAGUGGGAAGACUACUUGAGCCAGGAAUUAUAAGCUGUAGUGCGCAAUGCCAAUCAGGUGUCCUUACUAAGUUCUGAAUCAAUAUGGUAACCACACAGGGGUGGGGAACCACCAGAAUGCCUGAGGAGGGGUGAGCAGGCCCAGGCUGGAAAUGUAGCAGGUCAAAACUCCUGUGCUGGUCAGUAGUGGGAUGGUGCCUAUGAAGAGCGAUAAGAGCCAUAUCACUCCAACUUGGGCAACAAAGCAAGAAACUGCUUUUU